AACCUAUGGUUAGGACAUUUCCUAAGAAAGGACUAAAAAUGUUCCCAGGCUUCAUAAAAUGCUUCAUCCUGAUCUUGUUUGAAAGUGGAGAUAUCAGUUUUUGCACU